GGGGGCGACUGGUUUCGACUGGAUGGCCCUGAGGCAGGAAGCAAGCCGUGGUCUCCUCGCCACGUUAAACAGGGGUACCGUCAACAAUUAAUUGACAACAAUGAGUUCUCUGGGCAGUAUGCCCUCGCUGCUUAGUCUUAACUAACCAGCGCGCCAAAGGCAGGAUCGCUUCUGUCCUGCCUGCGGUGUCAUCUUAGGAAGCUGCACCUGUGGACGUAGUUGGUAUGCCACAGGCUAAGAUCGAACCAACUGGAGCGGGGCCCGUGCGUCGUCGCACACGCCCCUCUCGAGACCUUCUCGACGACUGAGCUUGGAGAUGCCUGCCAGGGGGCCAUGUAGGACCGGAGUUCGAUUCUCCGCGCCUCCACCA
rnacentral:tmRNA from 1 species